UACAGAGGGUGCAAGCGUUGUUCGGAAUUAUUGGGCGUAAAGGGUGCGUAGGCGGUGCGGUAAGUCUGUAGUGAAAUCUCUGGGCUCAACUCAGAGUCUGCUAUAGAAACUGCCGUGCUUGAGUGUGGGAGAGGUGAGUGGAAAUUCCUGGUGUAGAGGUGAAAUUCGUAGAUAUCAGGAGGAACACCAGUGGCGAAGGCGGCUUUCUGGACGGUAACUGACGCUGAGGCGACGGAAAGCGUGGGGGAGCAAACAGG
rnacentral:rRNA from 1 species